rnacentral:rRNA from 1 species
GGCGCACGGGUGCGUAACGCGUGGGAAUCUACCCUUCGGUUCGGAAUAACAGCGAGAAAUUGCUGCUAAUACCGGAUGAUGACGUAAGUCCAAAGAUUUAUCGCCGAGGGAUGAGCCCGCGUAGGAUUAGCUAGUUGGUGUGGUAAAGGCGCACCAAGGCGACGAUCCUUAGCUGGUCUGAGAGGAUGAUCAGCCACACUGGGACUGAGACACGGCCCAGACUCCUACGGGAGGCAGCAGUGGGGAAUAUUGGACAAUGGGCGAAAGCCUGAUCCAGCAAUGCCGCGUGAGUGAUGAAGGCCUUAGGGUUGUAAAGCUCUUUUACCCGGGAUGAUAAUGACAGUACCGGGAGAAUAAGCUCCGGCUAACUCCGUGCCAGCAGCCGCGGUAAUACGGAGGGAGCUAGCGUUAUUCGGAAUUACUGGGCGUAAAGCGCACGUAGGCGGCUUUGUAAGUAAGAGGUGAAAGCCUGGAGCUCAACUCCAGAACUGCCUUUUAGACUGCAUCGCUUGAAUCCAGGA